CCUACGGGAGGCAGCAGUGAGGAAUAUUGGUCAAUGGGCGAGAGCCUGAACCAGCCAAGUAGCGUGCAGGAUGACGGCCCUAUGGGUUGUAAACUGCUUUUGUAUGGGGAUAAAGUCAGUCACGUGUGAUUGUUUGCAGGUACCAUACGAAUAAGGACCGGCUAAUUCCGUGCCAGCAGCCGCGGUAAUACGGAAGGUCCGGGCGUUAUCCGGAUUUAUUGGGUUUAAAGGGAGCGUAGGCUGGAGAUUAAGUGUGUUGUGAAAUGUAGACGCUCAACGUCUGACUUGCAGCGCAUACUGGUUUCCUUGAGUACGCACAACGUUGGCGGAAUUCGUCGUGUAGCGGUGAAAUGCUUAGAUAUGACGAAGAACUCCGAUUGCGAAGGCAGCUGACGGGAGCGCAACUGACGCUGAAGCUCGAAGG
rnacentral:rRNA from 1 species